UUGGAGGGCAAGUCUGGUGCCAGCAGCCGCGGUAAUUCCAGCUCCAAUAGCGUAUAUUAUAGUUGUUGCAGUUAAAAAGCUCGUAGUCGAAUUUCGGGAUCAAUAUGUUGGUCGUGCCCUUGGUACGUACUAGUUUAUUGGUUUCUUCCUUCUGACGAACCAUGAUGUCAUUAAUUUGGUGUCUUGGGGAAUCAGGACUGUUACUUUGAAAAAAUUAGAGUGUUUAAAGCAGGCUCACGCUUGAAUACAUUAGCAUGGAAUAAUGAAAUAGGACGUUUGAUUCUAUUUUGUUGGUUUCUAGGAUCGACGUAAUGAUUAAUAGGGAUAGUUGGGGGCAUUAGUAUUCAAUUGUCAGAGGUGAAAUUCUUGGAUUUAUUGAAGACUAACUACUGCGAAAGCAUUUGCCAAGGAUGUUUUCAUUAAUCAAGAACGAAAGUUAGGGGAUCGAAGACGAUCAGAUACCGUCGUAGUCUUAACCAUAAACUAUGCCGACUAGGGAUCGGAUGAUGUUAAUUUUUUAAUGACUCAUUCGGCGCCUUACGGGAAAC
rnacentral:rRNA from 1 species